rnacentral:rRNA from 1 species
UGGGGAAUAUUGCACAAUGGGCGAAAGCCUGAUCCAGCCAUGCCGCGUGUGUGAAGAAGGUCUUCGGAUUGUAAAGCACUUUAAGUUGGGAGGAAGGGCAUUAACCUAAUACGUUAGUGUUUUGACGUUACCGACAGAAUAAGCACCGGCUAACUAUGUGCCAGCAGCCGCGGUAAUACAGAGGGUGCAAGCGUUAAUCGGAAUUACUGGGCGUAAAGCGCGCGUAGGUGGUUUGUUAAGUUGGAUGUGAAAUCCCCGGGCUCAACCUGGGAACUGCAUUCAAAACUGACUGACUAGAGUAUGGUAGAGGGUGGUGGAAUUUCCUGUGUAGCGGUGAAAUGCGUAGAUAUAGGAAGGAACACCAGUGGCGAAGGCGACCACCUGGACUAAUACUGACACUGAGGUGCGAAAGCGUGGGGAGCAAACA